UAUUAUACAAAGAGUCUUAUAUUGUCUGCUCUGACAAAAAUAAAGUAUUUUUUAGGUUUAGGGGAAUUGACGGCGUGUGUCUUAUAAAUACAACUUGAUAAUACGUUUGUUUUGUAAAGAGACUUCUUUAAAGUCACGCAAGAAUAAAAUAUUUUAGUUGUAACUGGUUAAACUUAAAGCCGAUAUUUUCUAUCGAACUAGUCUAUUUUCUGUUCAGACACAAAGUUUUCUGAUGCUGAUAUUAUGUCAGUGUGUGUUUGUGUGGGGGUCGUGUGAUGUAAUCUUUGAAAGUUUAUGACCGAACCUUUAUUGGGGAGCGACAAGAGAUCUCCCGGAAUCAGUUUGGAUGGAGCAGAGCUGUUAUACUCAAGUCUAUUGGUAUGUAUGUGUUUCGCUGUGUUCGUUCCAGUAUUUUGUAUGAUUUAUUUAAAAACUAAAAAUUCGAUCUCUGGUAUUGCAGCGAAAUUGUCUAAACUGGUAUUAACUAUUCCUGGUAAAUCGCGGAGAAGAGUGGCCUGAACAAAAAAGUCAGACCGAGACUAGAACCUCCCGCAGCGUAACACGGAAAUCUUGGAACAAAAGAGACGCCGACUGGCUCGUGUUGUCCGGUUUGGAUAUCAGAGGCAAAGCGAACGUUGUGUGUACUAUUGCAAAAUAUAUAGCGGAUCUCCACGGUUAGGAUACAGACCACAACGCUUUGGACGUAUCUUUAAAAAAGAUUAAAAUCAGAGACUUUUUGGAUUUGUCUGGGGACAUUUUAAACAUUUUGUGGCAAAUUGGAUUUAAAACAUUUCGGAUACUGGAUACCUAGUUUGAUUUGUCCACAGAGCUUGUUUAAGACGUUUUCACCGCAUUUUAGGGUUUAUUUUUAAUUAAAGGCUUCUUAAAACAUGUGUG